UAUAAUAUUAUAAGCAAAACCUAUGCUGAUGAUUAAAUGAAACUGUGAGAGUGAGGGUAGUCUUGUAAUAGGGUCAAACAGAUCAGAAAAAGCUUAUGUGUUGACUAAUAUCUUGGGUAUUGUGGUUAAAUAUUUAAUAAUGUUUUUCCUAUAUGUUGACUAACAUCUAAGAGUAUUAUGGUUAAAUGUUUAAUAACGUUUAUUGAGAAAGGCAAAGCUAGUUAGGGUUGCAUUGUUGACUAGCUUUUUUUUAGAGGUAUCAUCAUCUCUUCUUUCAAGGAAGCAAGAGAGGGAAAAGGGUGAAUGCACGAAAGAGAGAAAGAAUCUCUCAUCUCAUCUCGUUUCAUCUCAUCAUCUCUUUCAAAAUCUCUGAGUUCUGUUGUGGGUGCUAUUAUUUAUUCAGAAAGUACUGAAACAUUUAUUCAAAAUCAGGAUGUGAAAUUGAAAUGAGAAAGAGACAAAGCGUAUUGUCUCUCUGAGGAACCGACCGCGUUAUCUUUUGUCAAAAUAUGAAGAUGUUAGGUGUCUCCUCUCAGUGUUAAGCAUUGAUUGCACCCUUCAAAAGUAAGUCGGCUGAUUCUUUGCUCUGAUUUUUUUUUUUUUCUUCCAGUUUCAAAAUUCAUGAGGCAGCAUGAACCUCAGGCUACAGAUCAGAGACUAUCCAUACAAGUUAAAUCUGUUUCCUUGAAAAGUCCACAUGUCCGUGUUGGGUAGUUACAUAUUAAAUAGCUUAGCAAGGUCCUUAUUUUCACAAACUGAAUUGGCUCUACAUUUUAUCGAUGUUCAUAUCCGAAAUUCCCAAUAUUAGGAUGAGGGUAAAAGUCUUCCAUAUACAUAAAUUAUAGAUGUGACAAAAUAACCUCCACCGUUUGGGGAAAAAAAAGGAGGAAAAAAAAACAACCACUGUAAUCUCCAAAACAAGAUUUAGAAGCUAUAUGGAUUUAGUAUUAAUUUGUUGAUCUUUUUGGAAGUUAUGAUUCGUAGUUAUUGAUCAACAAGAACAUUUAUGUAAUCAACUUUGAUUGGUUGUGGAAAGAUGCAAAUUGUUAGGGUUUUUAUUAUUAACAUCAUGGUGUCAAUAACAUUGUAAUUUAUUUAUUCACUGUAUUGGAGAUUUUUCUAGUCUUAGAUAUCUAUUAAAUUUGGUUACGUGAAUUAAACAAAUUGCUACUAUGCCACUGCCGAAUGAUGAUGAUCAUCAUUAUUUUUUUUUUUUGUUGAUGAUGAGUAAUAAUAAUAAUUAUUGUUGUUAUUAUUAUAUUUUGUUGUUUGUUGAUGAUGAUGAUGAAGAAGAA
rnacentral:lncRNA from 1 species